GGCCCCGUCGUCUAGAGGCCUAGGACACCGGCCUUUCACGCCGGAAACACGGGUUCGAUUCCCGUCGGGGUCA
rnacentral:tRNA from 1 species